rnacentral:rRNA from 1 species
GACGAACGCUGGCGGCGUGCUUAACACAUGCAAGUCGAACGGGAUAUAUUGGAGAGCUUGCUCGAAGAUAUAUCUAGUGGCGGACGGGUGCGUAACGCGUGAACAAUCUGUCCCUGGGAGGGGAAUAACACUUGGAAACAAGUGCUAAUACCGCAUAGGACCACGGUGUCGCAGGGCACUGAGGUGAAAGGGCCUUGGCCCGCUUAGGGGUGAGUUCGCGUUCCAUUAGCUAGUUGGGGAGGUAACGGCCCACCAAGGCAUCGAUGGAUAGCCGAUCUGAGAGGAUGAACGGCCACACUGGAACUGAGAAACGGUCCAGACUCCUACGGGAGGCAGCAGUGGGGAAUAUUGGGCAAUGGGCGAAAGCCUGACCCAGCAACGCCGCGUGAGGGAAGAAGGUUUUCGGAUCGUAAACCUCUGUCGCAGGGGACGAAAAAGAUGACAGUACCAGCAGAGGAAGCCACGGCUAACUCCGUGCCAGCCGCCGCAGUAA